rnacentral:rRNA from 1 species
UACAGAGGUGGCAAGCGUUGUUCGGAAUUACUGGGCGUAAAGGGCGCGUAGGCGGCCCCAUAAGUCUCGUGUGAAAGCCCUCGGCUUAACUGAGGAUCUGCACGGGAUACUGUAGGGCUCGAGUUCGGGAGAGGAAAGCGGAAUUCCGGGUGUAGCGGUGAAAUGCGUAGAUAUCCGGAGGAACACCAGUGGCGAAGGCGGCUUUCUGGACCGACACUGACGCUGAGGCGCGAAAGCUAGGGGAGCAAACAGG